rnacentral:rRNA from 1 species
UACAGGGGGUGCAAACGUUGCUCGGAAUCAUUGGGCGUAAAGCGCACGUAGGCGGUCUGUUAUGUCGGAUGUGAAAGCCCUUGGCUCAACUGAGGAAGUGCAUCCGAAACUGGCAGGCUAGAGUACUAAAGAGGAUCGCGGAAUUCCCGGUGUAGAGGUGAAAUGCGUAGAGAUCGGGAGGAAGGCCGGUGGCGAAGGCGGCCUGCUGGGCUCUUGCUGACACUGAGGCGCGACAGCGUGGGGAGCAACAGG